AAUAGCCUCGCUAGAUGGAGACGAGGAAUCACUGCAGCGGCGCUGGCCGCCACGGCAGCGGGGAGCGCGGGCGGGAGCGCAGCCCAGGAGGGAGGCGGGCGAGGCUCUGGCUCCGCUCACGUCUGUUUUCCUUUUUCGUGCAUUAUUUAUUUCGCCUCCGCCCGCGGCCCUGCUGCCGGAGCGGGCGCUCCGGGCCGGCGCCUCUCGCCCGCUGCCUCCCGCGGGCCCCCGGCACCCCGCGCCUGGGGCAGCCGCGCGGCGCCACCGGGAAGGGCGGUGACCCGGGCGGCGCAGGGAACCGCGGCGGCUGGAGGAGGGCUCGUGCGGUCCAGGGACACUUUCCUCGCCCUUUGCCUGGGCAGCCCAAGCCGGGCUCCGAGCUCGGGGGUGGCCCCCUUUCCUGGCCCGCGCGCGGCCAAGCGCAGCCCGGAGCCCCGUGCGAGCGCGCCGCGCCCCGGGUCCCCAGAUCGGCCGCCCAGGAGGCCCAAGCGGCGCGCAAACUUUUGCUCCAGUGCCGGCGCUCCUCUUCUGCAUGUGAAGCCCCCGUGCGCCCGCGCAGCCGCCAGGUUAGCUCACCAGUGGGCACCCCGGGCCGAGAUGCUACUCCGGGACCUGGUGCUGCGCCGAGGCUGCUGCUGGCCCUCGCUACUGCUGCACUGUGCGCUCCACCCACUCUGGGGCUUAGUUCAGCUCCCAACUCUACCUCGUGCCCUGCAGAGGACAGCUGGUGGUCAGGGCUGGCGAUCAUCGCUGCAGUCCUCUGUGCCUCCCUCGUGUUUCUGACCGUGCUGGUCAUCAUCUGCUACAAAGCCAUAAAGAGGAACCAGGCCAUUUAGAGGAGUUCUCUGUGGCCUCUGCUUUGCUUAGAGGGACCAGCCCAGACUGGCCCACAGGUUGGAGGAUCAGGAGGAGUCCUAGCAAUGUCUGCUAGCUCUUCCAGAGCCUCAGAAGGUGAAGGCCAAGUAGGAAGUCUGGGCAGACUGGAGACGGAAACCGCUGAGAAAAGAUGAAAAUGGCACCAGUGUUGCUGAGUACCCCAUGAGCUCUGCCCAGAGUAACAAAGGGGUGGAUGUGAGCACUGCGGUGGUGUGAAUCUGCAGGCCUUGGACCCACUGGCUGGAAAAACACCUUGGUGGCACUGGUGGACAUGGGAUGGCAGGUGGACAUGGGCUGACCCUGGGCCUGUCCAGGACUUCAUGCUUUGCAGGCCUCGAGCCUCCUGAAGGAGAAAGCAUCCUCUUCCCAGGCUAGCCCUGGUCACCCCAGGGGUGCUGCACAGAUACUAGGCUUGAGCCAGGCUCCCCGCAUGUGGCCCCCCUGAGCAGCAGCACCACCCAGGGCUCUCCAUACUCUCCUCUUUGUCUUGUGUUGGGCGCCCCGACUGUCACCCAGUUGCUAAUGAAAGCAUGUAGCCCAAGGAAAGCAGAGGGUCUGUCUGUCCUUCUGGGGCAGGCAGAGACCCCAGUUUAGCCAGAGGAAAGGUGACCCAGGGACUGCUCCCAUUCUGGCAGCUUCCUCUCCUGCAGGAAGCCCACCUGCUUCCCUGUGGACAUUCUAACAAAAGCCAUCACACAGCCAUGAGACAAAUGUCCCCUUGCAAAGGUGCUUCCCACACAUCUGGCCACCACUGUAUCUGCCGUGGUCUUCCAUCUCCAGAGCCCAUGUCACCCUCCUUUGCCCACACACAGCGUAGCCUGCGGCUCCUGACUGCAUGCCUGCCAAGGGAAGCAGUGAGCUCAGCUUACACGGUCCCCAGGAAAUGGACUCCGUGUCUCCCAAAAGCCCAGACCGAGGACGUCCCAAGAAAGACAGAGGUUCCCUUUGCCUGACAUCUCACACCUGGCUCUCCAGGAAGCAUCAGUGUGAGCCAGGCCCUGUCUCACCGGACAGAGGUCACAACUUGUGCCAAACCCAUGUGGUACUCUGUGCUAGGCCAAUGCUGGCCUGGUGCUGUGUGCCUCCCCUUGUCCCCAAGAGUCCCCUGAAGCCUAAAUUUGGUACUCAGAAUGUUCCCCGGAGAAGAUGGCCUUCUUCUGGGUAUCCUGGAAGGGGCUUUUCUCAGAGUGCCAGGGCUGUUAUGGCACUGAAGCCUCCUGAGUGUGGGAGGAAGGGAGAGUGAGGAAGAGCCAUCCAGCCUUGCCAACCCCCUGCCCACAGGCUGGUUCUCCUGAAUACCACCCACACAGGGAGGCACAUCCCUUGACCCCUGUGAUUUUAUGUCCCUUGGCCCCCUCACCAGCCACAUGUACUUGCCUAGAAGGAAGAGGCCUCCUGGAGGGCAGCACAGUGUAGAGGUUUAGCCGGGUGUGUUAGCCCCCUCCUCAGUCACCAAAGCCAGGUCAACCGACAGACACAAAAAUCAGUCCUAUGUGGCUGGGUACCCUGAAGCUGCCGCUGUCCUGCAGCCCCAACAGGCACAGGCUAAGGGGAGGUCCAGGGCAUAGCUCCUGUAAGGGACAUUUGCUUGAGGACAUGGUUUUGGCUUGGGUUUGAAUUUCACCUUCACAGCAUUACCUUGGCUCUGGCACAGGGUUGCCAAGAUCCUUCUGUGGAGCUGCCCCCACCUCAGCCAGGACAGCACCUGGCAGCCCCCAUUCGGAUGUGGUCCCAAGUGAUGAAGAAGCCAAAGCAGGUAGAUCAGGGACAGGCUGACAGGGGUGAGAAGCCUGACCAUCUCCACCCCAGUGCCUUGUCUCACACCUGCCCCCCACACACACCUUGAUCUAAAUUGAGAUAGGGCCACAGUCCCCUGGUGCCUGUGUCUGCAGCAGACACUGGGCAGAUA